GAACCAAAACUAGAGAGAGAGACAGCUAAAGCAAUAUAUAUAAAUAUAUUUACACUUAUGUUACAGUUAUAUACAAUUGAAAUAUAUAUAUAAUUUCACAAGGAAAAGGGAAAGGGAAAGGGGGAAGGGAAAAAAGGAACAAAACCAAAAUAAAAUAUAUAUAUAUCCUGAUCAGUAGCCCAAGAUCUAGCAACUAAAAGAAUUAGCAAAAGAAUAUCUUACUACUCUCCUUGGGACAACAGAAAGUCACUCUGGAACGAUCGCCGGCAACCUCCGUCUCCCAAGGUUGGCAAGGCCUUACCAGGCCUCGUUUCCCAACACGACAGACUCAACAACAGGGAACCUGCACCUCCAAAGCCGCUGGAAGGAAAGAGAGCGAAGGCCUCUCCUCCUUUCUUCUUAUACCCUGGCUUACGUAAAAAUCAUAGGGAAUACUGGGUAAAUCUGGGCACUUCCUUGGCUACAAACUGGUCACCAAGGAAGGCCUAGACCAAACUACCACAAUGUCCUUGAGGGAAGCCUGGAAGCCCUGUAGACUGAUCAGUGUUUGUAGACUCCCAGUAAUAAGGGACAAGUUACUGUAUUUAAAGGGUGACUAAGAUGGAGACUGCCUUUUUACAAGGAGCCACGGGGAAAACAUGAGGAGUACAUGUACGAGUUACUACUGUGUUGACACAAGAUGAGCUGGGCUAGAGGUAAUUCUGAUAAAGGCCUUGAGAAAAGGAAAUGCGAAACUUUGGAGGCACUUUGAGUCCAUAUCUUGCUGGGAACUGACCUCCAGGCUUUGCGGAAAUUGUACUGUACAGAUGGCAUUUUCCAUCUGAAACCACCUAUUGUGGAGGCAAGAAUCUGGAGACAUGCUCUGUAGCUUCCAGCUCAUGCCUGAAAUCAGUUAAUCUCUCUUCUUGGUUUUCCAGAGCAUGAAGAAUUUAUAUUUAGUAAGUUUAGACAGACACUGAUUUAAUGAGGGAGAAUCUUAGGUUGUGACUCUAUGCUACAGAAUUUUUUUUCUCAUGGUUUUAGUAUAUUUUAUUUCCUUCUCCUGGCAGCAUAUUCUGGUCUUUAGGAAGUAACAUGGCCGAGGUCAAUCAAAUUAGAUUCUUGUUGGCUGUCUUAUUGAAUAUAUUAAAAAAAUAUCUUUGAUCAAAACAAAAAAAUCCUGCCUAAAGUGUUGUUUUUCAGCCUGGGUUUUUUAAUUAACCUCGUAUAAAACAGGUUGUAGCAGUGAAAGUCGGGAGGUGAUAAAGUGCUGAACAGGGACAGGAAUAAGUAGCCAGGACACAUUAGUCUUAAUUAAAGCUAAUUAAUGCUUAAAAGUAGUCUUUUUACAAUAGCUCCUAUGCAAUGAAACAUCAGUCUCAAAGGUCACAUUUUUGAACAGCUGAAAAAGUUCCAAUGUAACAAUGGGGGUUAGUUUAGGUAAUUGCAUUGCUUCAUAAAAAUAGAAAACUCUCUUUUGAAGAGGUAACUCAGUAUUCUUGAAUGACAACUGGCAUUAAAGAGCUUUUUUUCACUCCAUCAUGGGAUCCACUGAACUGAGGUUGUAUGAUAGUGAUGCAGUGGCAUGAUGUGUGGUAAAUGGGUCACUGGAAGUUUCUGUAACUUUGACCAUGAACUGACUGAAGAAGAUUUUACUCUCAAAUUCUGCAUGUCCAGGACCCUCCAUGAACACUGAGCUCACUCAGUUGUACAGCUCAGUGAACCUCAGACCAACAGCAUUCUCUGAGCAUGUUCAAAAUUCUCUCCAGGUCUCUAGUCAGACUGAGAAAGUGAGCAGAGUGGUACUUUUUUCUCCAUGCUUGCCUAAUUUAUUCUCAUCCAGCAUGCCCUUUUUUAUUCAUAUCUCUUUCAUUGUACAUUCUGAGUUUAUUCAAUUCAGUUUUUAUUUAAUCAGGUGCACUAACCCUUGGAGGUUUUUCUUUUUGCAUCAAUGUAGUCUCACAUUGAAAUCAGCUUUCAUUGAAUUUGACAUUUGCUGAAUGUUAGAACUAAAAAUUACUGAAAUCCUGGUAUAAUUAUUUAAUUAUUUUAGCUAAAAAUUCAUCUGUCACUUUUGUCAUUGUAUUUAGGGCAUGGAUGUAUAACCAAUAGUUAACUGGAUUCCUGUAUAUUUGUAUUUUACGGUAAGGAAAAAACUCAAAAUUUUCAUAUAUAUUGUAUAGUUCUUCCCCAAUACAGAUACAUUUAAAUGUUUGUUACAGGCCUGCUGACUGAUGGCAGUAUCAGUCCCAAAAAUGAUAAAUGUCCAGAGGUAGUGGCAAUAAAAUGCCAAAGUGUAAAGGAAAUUAUUCUUAAGAAAACAUGUUUGGGAGAGUAGAAUAAAAUGUAUCCUUGUGUUUAUAAUUGGAAAAAGAGGCUGCAUGUAUUAUUAUUUUAAAAUACAAUCUUUGUUUUAAUAUUUGCCAGAAGAUCUGUGGUUUUGCUGCCUACUGAGAUAGAACAUUAAAAACAACUCUGUUAUCAAUGAGUGAAGUUAUUUCUUACUAUACAUUUUCCAUAGGCCAGUGAGAGGUACACAUGUGAGAGGUGCAGUACAAAACCAUACCUAUGUGCCAUGAUAUACAUGGCUAUGUAUAAAGAGAGGAAAAGUGAGAGCACCUAGACUAAAACAUGUAUGAUGAGGCUCACAUUCCUUUCAGCUGCAUUGGAAUGUGAAUUAGGCCUUUUGACAUGGCCUCACAGCUUUUCUGAUGUCUAAAAUAGCACCGCUUUAGUGCUUCACAUGUGGCCAUCAUUAGACAGGAAAGAAUUCUGUGAACUUCACUGGUGUCAUCUCCCCACCCUCUUUAUACCUUUGACUUGCUGAAAUAAAAGUAUGUACACCUU